rnacentral:rRNA from 1 species
GAUGAACGCUGGCGGCGUGCUUAAUACAUGCAAGUCGAGCGAACAGAUGAGGUGCUUGCUCUUCCAACGUUAGCGGCGGACGGGUCAGUAUCACAUGGUUAACCUACCUAUGAGACUAGGACAACAUCGUGAAACCGGAGCUAAUACUGGCUAAUAUAUUCAACCUCAUGGUUAGAUAGUGAAAGUCGGUUUUGCUGUCACUUAUAGAUUGUUCCGGGCCGCAUUAGAUAGUUGGUAAGAUAACGGCUUACCGAGGCAGCGAUGCGUAGCCGACCUGAGAGAGUGAUAGGCCACACUUGAAGUUAACCGCGGACAAGGCGCCUACGGGAGGCAGCAGUAGGGAAUCUUCCGCAAUGGGCGAGAACAUGACGGAGCAACACAGCGGGAGUGAUGAAGGUCUUCGGAUCGUAAAGCUCUGUUACUGGGGAAGAACAAAUGUGUAAGUAACUAUGGACGUCUUGACGGUACCUAAUCAAAAAGCCACGGCUAACUACGUG